rnacentral:snRNA from 1 species
UUGCUUUGACACCACAUAUACCGAAAUUAGAACCAUAUGAAGAUUAGCACGGCCUCUGUGCAUAGGACAUGCAAAUUCAUGGAGCAUUCUAUAUUUGU